CAGUAGGGAAUCUUCCACAAUGGACGCAAGUCUGAUGGAGCAACGCCGCGUGAGUGAAGAAGGUCUUCGGAUCGUAAAACUCUGUUGUUAGAGAAGAACACGAGUGAGAGUAACUGUUCAUUCGAUGACGGUAUCUAACCAGCAAGUCACGGCUAACUACGUGCCA
rnacentral:rRNA from 1 species